UACCAGCUCUCCGAGUGGUAGGGAUGAUUAUUGGGCUUAAAGCGUCCGUAGCCGGCUUAGCAAGUUUCCUGUUAAAUUCAGCGACCUAAUCGUUGAGCCGCGGGAAAUACUACUAGGCUAGGAGGCGGGAGAGGUCGACGGUACUUCUGGGGUAGGGGUGAAAUCCUAUAAUCCCGGGAGGACCACCAGUGGCGAAGGCUGUCGACUAGAACGCGCUCGACGGUGAGGGACGAAAGCUGGGGGAGCGAGCCGGAUUAGAUACCCGGGUAGUCCCAGCUGUAAACGAUGCGGGCUAGGUGUUGGGGUGGCUACGUGCCACUUCAGUGCCGCAGGGAAGCCAUUAAGCCCGCCGCCUGGGGAGUACGGCCGCAAGGCUGAAACUUAAAGGAAUUGGCGGGGGAGCACCACAAGGCGUGAAGCUUGCGGUUC
rnacentral:rRNA from 1 species